AGCAGUCGCCGCGGUAAUACGAAGGGUGCAAGCGUUAAUCGGAAUUACUGGGCGUAAAGCGCGCGUAGGUGGUUUGGUAAGAUGGAUGUGAAAUCCCCGGGCUCAACCUGGGAACUGCAUCCAUAACUGCCUGACUAGAGUACGGUAGAGGGUGGUGGAAUUUCCUGUGUAGCGGUGAAAUGCGUAGAUAUAGGAAGGAACACCAGUGGCGAAGGCGACCACCUGGACUGAUACUGACACUGAGGUGCGAAAGCGUGGGGAGCAAACAGGAUUAGAUACCCCCGGUAGUCCCUGUCUCUUAUA
rnacentral:rRNA from 1 species